rnacentral:sRNA from 1 species
GGAUCUGAAGGUGAUUUGGCUGCACUAUCUGCCACCUCUUUGUUCACCAGAGUUGAAACAGCUGAUCUGGUUGCCUAGACUGGUGUUUCCUUCCUCCCUCCUCGCACCCCUCCAGAACCUGAGCACUCGGUCAAGAGGACGACCUUCCCUUAUAGAAAAGAACCAGUCUUCUGUAAAGAAUAGAAGAGUAGAUGCACUUGCCUGCUAGAAAUUCCAGACAAUUUCUCAAGAUCCUUUUU